rnacentral:rRNA from 1 species
UACGGGGGGGGCAAGCGUUGUUCGGAAUUACUGGGCGUAAAGGGCUCGUAGGCGGCCAACUAAGUCGGACGUGAAAUCCCUCGGCUUAACCGGGGAACUGCGUCCGAUACUGGAUGGCUUGAGUCUGGGAGAGGGAUGCGGAAUUCCGGGUGUAGCGGUGAAAUGCGUAGAUAUCUGGAGGAACACCGGUGGCGAAGGCAGCUCGCUGGGACGUUACUGACGCUGAGACGCGAAAGCGUGGGGAGCAAACAGG